GUUCGGUCAUUCUCUUAUUUAUUCAACAAUCCCAGAGCCUCUGUAAGUUCCCAGCUCUGGGCCCAGCAGCCCUCAGAGGGCUCAUGGUCUGGUGGUAGCGGUAGGCUCAGGUAGGACAGUGUGGGAAAGACAGAGGAAGGAAUGCUGACUCUGCAAGGUCAGGGGUCUGAGUCAUCAGGGGAGGCCUCCCCGAGGAAUCAGCCUUCUCCAGGCAGAGAGGGAGUAGGGGAUGUGAGGUGGUCCAGAGGCCUGGCAUGCUCAGAAGGUGAGUGGGCGAGGCCAGGCUGGGGACAGGCUGGGGGCAGACUCCUAAGGAGGUGUUGGAAGCAGCCCAUGCCUGGUGUCGGAGGUUUUCUCUCAGCUGGUGCUCCAGGGAGGCAGGGUUCCUGAGCACUGCGGAGAAGGCUUCAAUGCUGAUCCUGAAAGUCAUGGAGCAGGUCACACAAUUGGGUCCUGGGGAGGAGGCUCCUGAAUCCUGCAAGGAGGCAGCCUGGCCAGGAUGAGGCAGGGAAGAAGACUGGGCGGGGGCAGCACCACCAGGGACUCUCGGACAGCCAGAGGGAAGGCUGGAGUCACAUCUGAGGGAGAGGGUGGUCUAGGGGGUUCGGCUGGCAAGGACCACUGGCCCAGGUUGGACUGUCCACUGAAGAGUAGCCGGACCUGGAACCAUCUAGAGAGGCAGGGCAGGUUGGAGGCUGGAAGCGUUGAUGAGAAGGCCUGUGCCUGUGGUGGGGAGCACAGACACAGAAGGGUCCGGAGAGGUUUUGGCUCUGGGGAUGAAGGAGGAAAUUGGGGCCAGGACUGGUGAUCCUGACCACCCUGGAGCUACAGAGAGAGGAGGCUCUGUGGCAGCUAACGUGUUAUCCAUCAAUGUAGACACAAGUGGGCCCUGGGGUGCUGAGGACACAGCCUUCUCUGGGGCCCUUGGAGAUAGAAGUGUGGAAGCCCCAGGCCUGACGGUGCUUGCUGCUGAUGUAGAUGGCUUACAGGCCUUGGGGCUGGAGGUGGGCCUGCCCAUGGGCCAGGCCAGCAGUUGAGGGAUCCAGAUGUGGGUGC
rnacentral:lncRNA from 1 species